GGCCCCAUCGUCUAUCGGCUAGGACAUCUGGUUCUCAUCCAGGUAAGAGGAGUUCGACUCUCCUUGGGGCUGCCA
rnacentral:tRNA from 1 species